rnacentral:rRNA from 1 species
UACGGAGGGGGCUAGCGUUGUUCGGAAUUACUGGGCGUAAAGCGCACGUAGGCGGCUUUAUAAGUUAGAGGUGAAAGCCCGGGGCUCAACUCCGGAAUUGCCUUUAAGACUGCAUCGCUAGAAUUGUGGAGAGGUAAGUGGAAUUCCGAGUGUAGAGGUGAAAUUCGUAGAUAUUCGGAAGAACACCAGUGGCGAAGGCGACUUACUGGACACAUAUUGACGCUGAGGUGCGAAAGCGUGGGGAGCAAACAGG